GAUGAAGAACGCAGCGAAAUGCGAUAAGUAAUGUGAAUUGCAGAAUUCAGUGAAUCAUCGAAUCUUUGAACGCACAUUGCGCCCCUUGGUAUUCCGAGGGGCAUGCCUGUUCGAGCGUCAUUACAACCCUCAGGCCCCCGGGCCUGGCGUUGGGGAUCGGCGGAGCCCCCCGUGGGCACACGCCGUCCCCCAAAUACAGUGGCGGUCCCGCCGCAGCUUCCAUCGCGUAGUAGCUAACACCUCGCGACUGGAGAGCGGCGCGGCCACGCCGUAAAACACCCAACUCUUCUGAAGUUGACCUCGAAUCAGGUAGGAAUACCCGCUGAACUUAAGCAUAUCAAUAAGCGGAGGA
rnacentral:misc_RNA from 1 species